rnacentral:rRNA from 1 species
GCUCGCAAAGAGAACCGGAACACCAGGUGCUGCAUGGCUGUCGUCAGCUCGUGUCGUGAGAUGUUGGGUUAAGUCCCGCAACGAGCGCAACCCUUGUCCUUAGUUGCUACGAAAGGGCACUCUAAUGAGACUGCCGGUGACAAACCGGAGGAAGGUGGGGAUGACGUCAAGUCCUCAUGGCCCUUAUGGGUAGGGCUUCACACGUCAUACAAUGGUCGGAACAGAGGGUCGCCAACCCGCGAGGGGGAGCCAAUCCCAGAAACCCGAUCGUAGUCCGGAUUGCACUCUGCAACUCGACUGCAUGAAGUCGGAAUCGCUAGUAAUCGCGGAUCAGCAUGUCGCGGUGAAUACGUUCCCGGGUCUUGUACACACCG